UGUUCGGAUUGCGGCGACGUGGGCGGUUUGCUGCCCGCGACGUCGCGAGAAGUCCACUAAACCUUAUCAUUUAGAGGAAGGAGAAGUCGUAACAAGGUUUUCGUAGGUGAACCUGCGGAAGAAUCAUU
rnacentral:rRNA from 1 species